CUACCAGACUCCUACGGGAGGCAGCAGUGAGGAAUAUUGGUCAAUGGGCGCAAGCCUGAACCAGCCAAGUCGCGUGAGGGAUGACGGUCCUAUGGAUUGUAAACCUCUUUUGUCGGGGAGCAAGGCCCGCCACGUGUGGCGGGAAGGAGAGUACCCGAAGAAAAAGCAUCGGCUAACUCCGUGCCAGCAGCCGCGGGAAUACGGAGGAUGCGAGCGUUAUCCGGAUUUAUUGGGUUUAAAGGGUGCGUAGGCGGGCAUUUAAGCCGGCGGUCAAAUGUCGGGGCUCAACCCCGGCCUGCCGUCGGAACUGGGCGCCUUGAGUGGGCGAGAAGUAUGCGGAAUGCGUGGUGUAGCGGUGAAAUGCAUAGAUAUCACGCAGAACCCCGAUUGCGAAGGCAGCAUACCGGCGCCCUACUGACGCUGAGGCACGAAAGUGCGGGUAUCGAACAGGAUUAGAUACCCGCGUA
rnacentral:rRNA from 1 species